CGCUACCAAUAUUGCUCUUGGAAACCGAUAAAUUUAUCCACAUUGCACCAUUACGAUCCUUAUAUGUCAGUUGUAUUUUAAAAGACAAAUGUAUCAACUAGCUAAUGAGCAUCAGUUAAUAAUCUUGUCUGCAUUGAUUCAACUUAAAACUAUUGUCUGAUCGGUUGUCAGGUGGAAUUUUCGAAAAUUCAUAAACAUUUAAAAAAAUUCUAAUUAAAUAUUUCGUGGAAGGGCAGAC
rnacentral:lncRNA from 1 species